CCUACGGGAGGCAGCAGUGGGGAAUAUUGCACAAUGGGCGAAAGCCUGAUGCAGCGACGCCGCGUGAGGGAUGACGGCCUUCGGGUUGUAAACCUCUUUCAGCAGGGAAGAAGCGAAAGUGACGGUACCUGCAGAAGAAGCGCCGGCUAACUACGUGCCAGCAGCCGCGGUAAUACGUAGGGCGCAAGCGUUGUCCGGAAUUAUUGGGCGUAAAGAGCUCGUAGGCGGCUUGUCACGUCGGGUGUGAAAGCCCGGGGCUUAACCCCGGGUCUGCAUUCGAUACGGGCUAGCUAGAGUGUGGUAGGGGAGAUCGGGAAUUCCUGGUGUAGCGGUGAAAUGCGCAGAUAUCAGGAGGAACACCGGUGGCGAAGGCGGAUCUCUGGGCCAUUACUGACGCUGAGGAGCGAAAGCGUGGGGAGCGAACAGGAUUAGAUACCCUGGUAGUCCACGCCGUAAACGGUGGGAACUAGGUGUUGGCGACAUUCCACGUCGUCGGUGCCGCAGCUAACGCAUAAGUUCCCCGCCUGGGGAGUACGGCCGCAAGGCUAAAACUCAAAGGAUUGACGGCUUGAGAGUUGCGAGNGACGAGAGGGAGAG
rnacentral:rRNA from 1 species